UGUAUCUGAAGCCUGACGAGGAUGAGAACCUCCGGGGGUAAGAGGUUCGACUCGAGCGAAGCGAGAGAACGUUGCG
rnacentral:sRNA from 1 species